rnacentral:tRNA from 1 species
GAUUCUAUGGGGAACAGGCGUUUGCACUACCUUGACAGGGUAGGGGUCGCUGGUUCAAGUCCAGUCGGAAUCA